rnacentral:sRNA from 1 species
ACCAGGCCUUCCCCUUCCAAAAUAUACCUCCCUUUGUGCCACCUGUCAGGCACUACCGCAGACCUGGGGCCACUCUGCUGUCAUCCAGCAGCUUGGUGACUCUGCUUUUGGUGAAAGGUCCUGGAGCUGCUGCUGCAGACCCUGGGGAGAUUUCAGUGUGAUUAGAAAUGCUAACAAUGGCAACUGGGUUCUCAUCUUUAUUUUGCGGUUUGAGUUUUGUGUUUCGAAUUUCAGUUUAUUGGCUCAUCUGAAGCCCUGUAAAGAUUUUGAAGUGGACAGUCAUAUAAAAGAUUUCGCUGCGAAGCUGUCUUUAAUACCCAGCCCGCCACCUGGACCGCUCCAUUUGGUAUUUAACAUGAAGUCGCUCCAGAUUGUGUUACCUGCCCGAGCAGACCUCGAAAG